rnacentral:rRNA from 1 species
UACGAAGGGGGCUAGCGUUGCUCGGAAUUACUGGGCGUAAAGGGCGCGUAGGCGGACAGCUUAGUCAGAGGUGAAAGCCCAGGGCUCAACCUUGGAAUAGCCUUUGAUACUGGCUGUCUUGAGUUCGGGAGAGGUGAGUGGAAUGCCGAGUGUAGAGGUGAAAUUCGUAGAUAUUCGGCGGAACACCAGUGGCGAAGGCGACUCACUGGCCCGAUACUGACGCUCAUGCACGAAAGCGUGGGGAGCAAACAGG